AACGAACGCUGGCGGCAGGCUUAACACAUGCAAGUCGAACGGGUGUAGCAAUACAUCAGUGGCAGACGGGUGAGUAACACGUGGGAACCUUCCUAGGGGUACGGAACAACUCAGGGAAACUUGAGCUAAUACCGUAUACGUCCGUAAGGAGAAAGAUUCAUCGCCCCUAGACGGGCCCGCGUCGGAUUAGGUAGUUGGUGGGGUAACGGCCUACCAAGCCUACGAUCCGUAGCUGAUCUGAGAGGANGAUCAGCCACACUGGGACUGAGACACGGCCCAGACUCCUACGGGAGGCAGCAGUGGGGAAUCUUGGACAAUGGGCGGCAAGCCUGAUCCAGCCAUGCCGCGUGAGUGAAGAAGGCCUUAGGGUUGUAAAGCUCUUUUACCAGGGACGAUAAUGACGGUACC
rnacentral:rRNA from 1 species